AUGGAUGGAUGGAUGGAUGGGCAUCAGUUGUAGGAUUUCAGAAUCUCCUUCCAGCCCGAAGCUCAUCAUCUCCUUCCUUUGUAGAAAGCAACAACCUCACCUGGGAGCUCCAAAGGAAACCCAACAGAUGAAGACCUGGCCUGCUUCUGAUUGGAAGACUAGUGAUUUUGUUGUUCUGAUGUAAAAAAGCGACAACAAAUCACAGCCUACCAUCCAGCAGGGGCCCACCUCUCAGUAGUCCACACCUUUUAUCACGUCCUCCUCCUCCUCCUCCUGUUUUUUCUAUACUUCCGCGUUGCAAGGUCACGAAGAAUCACUGGGACCUGUUUGGGACAAUCCCUUCCCUUUUCCCAGGACAUACAGAACGGACCGUAUACAGAUAGUCCUCGACGUACGACCAAAAUUGGGACCAGAAUUUCGGUUGCGGUUGUUAAGUGUGUUGUGGACCAAGUGCCUGUCAGUCUGAAUCCUAAAGUCCCACAAGAUCUUGAGUUUCUCAUUCUCUAAAACUUUCUCAACCUGAAGUUCCCAGUGGUUUUUGCUGUACUCAAAUGCAAACUUCUGGCACAAUUUCCAGUGAAUGAUCUUAGCAACACGGCCAUGGCGUUGGAGUCAUAGUCGUUCAGCGAAUCUGGCUUCCCCCUCGCUGACUUUGCUUAUGAGAAGCCAGCUGGGAAGGUCACCAAUGGCGAUCCCACCAUCCAGGAUUCUGCACAGCGAUUCUGCCAGGGGCUGCUCUGAUGGUUUUAAGUUUGAGGAACGGCCCUUUUUUCAGCACGGUUGUAACUUCAGACGUUUGGUAAGUGAAUGGUGGCUAAGUCAAGAGCUACCUGGAUCCGUGUGUCCGUUAUUAUACAGGACAGUUCUUUCAUUGUUUCUAAUUUUAAUCAAUUUUUAAUUCAAGAGUGAUUUUUACAUCCCUGUUUUUUAUUGUAUUGUAAGCUGCCUGGAGUUGCCCCAAAGAACACGAGAGAGAGAGAGAAAGAGAGAGAGAGAUGGUAGAUGAUGGAUGAUGAUAGAUCAAUAGGCAGAUAGACAGACCGGUGAUAGAUACUGUAGAUGAUAGAUAGACAGAUAGACAAAUAGAGAGAUAGAGAGAUAGAUAUGAUAGAUGAAAAGAGAGAUGGUAGAUAGAUGAUAGAUAAGAGAUAGAGAUAUGAUAAAUAGAUAGAUAGAUAUGAUAGAUAUAUAGAUAAUGAUAAACAAAUAGAUAGGAGAUAGAUAGAUAGAUAGAUAGAUAGAUAGAUAGAUAGAUAGAUGGAUGGAUAGAUAGAUAGAUAGAUAGAUAUGGUAGAUGAGAAGAGAGAUGGUAGAUAGAUGAUAGAUGAUAGAUAAGAGAUAGAUAGAGAUAUGAUAGAUAUAUAGAUAUGAUAAACAAAUAGAUAUGAUAUGAUAAAUAGAUAAAUAGAUAGAUAGAUGAUAUAGAUAUGAUAGAUAGAUAUGAUAGAUAGAUAUGAUAAAUAGAUUAGAUAGAUAGAUAGAUAGAUAGAUAGAUAGAUAGAUAGAUAGAUAGAUAUAGAUAGAUAGAUACAUAGAUGAGAAAGAGAGAUGAUAGAUGAUAGAUAAGAGAUAGGAGAUAUGAUAAAUAGAUAGAUAGAUAGAUAGAUAUGAUAGAUAUAUAGAUAAUGAUAAACAAAUAGAUAGGAGAUAGAUAGAUAGAUAGAUAGAUAGAUGAUAGAUAGAUAGAUAGAUAGAUAUAGAUAUAGAUAGAUACAUAGAUGAGAAAGAGAGAUGAUAGAUAAGAGAUAAGAGAUAGAGAUAUGAUAAAUAGAUAGAUAGAUAUGAUAGAUAUAUAGAUAAUGAUAAACAAAUAGAUAGGAGAUAGAUAGAUAGAUAGAUAGAUAGAUAGAUAGAUAGAUAGAUAGAUAGAUAGAUAGAUAGAUAGAUAAGAGAGAGAGAGAGAGAGAAAUUCAGAAAGGUGUCCUUUAAAUUUAUUUAUGUCUCCAAAAACUCAAUCUUGGCCUUUCUUUGGGUCAUUUUACUUUUUACCAUCCAAAUGGUACCGCUUCAAGCACAGUGUGAUUGCAGAAAUCCUUUUUAAUACCCAUUCCAUCCAGCUUCAUAACUUUUAAUGCUUUUUAAAUGUUUUUAUUAGAAUAUGUACUUUGGUAAGAUCUUUUUGGAUUUUGCUCUUGAGUUUUUCCUUUGUUAAAAAACAUUUCUUACAAAUCUCUUUCAGGUUUUCCUGUUUUUUCAGGUUUGUUCUUUCUCGUUUUCCAAGAAAAAAGGGUCACUGAAGAUCGGAUUGCAUUUAAAAAACAUUUUCCUUCCGAAACAAUAAAAUAAACUUUUAGCACCUUUCAGAA